UUUCUUUCUCUAUUCCGUUCAUCAUCAAUUCUUCACCAUCAUCAUCAAUCGCCCAAUUCAACACUUAUUCUCAGAAUCUUCAUCUUAGGCUGGCUUCCAAAUAUGAAUGAUAUUUUCUACAUUCAUGGUAGUUUGCUGAGAAGAUUUCAUCUAUUUAUCUAAUCUUCAUCGAAUUCGGCAACACCUUGAAUGUGGCAGCAUUGAUGUUCCAAUCGCAGCUUUAUGUGAGUCUCUCUUACUCUUCUUCCUUUUUUCCUCUGGCAACUUAUUAUUGUGUUGCGUGUGAGGUGUUUGAUAAUUUGACUCAAUGAAAUUUUACUCUAUUAUUUUGCAAUUGUGUGCUUAUCCAGGAAUUAGGUGGAUGAACUGUUAUUUCCGUAUUAGACGAUGCCACUGCCGUGUGAGUAUCUCCCAACAAAUUUGUUUAAAUUUCAAAAUGAUCCUUUAAAUUGAAAAUCUUCGUUCACGUAUGUGAUAUUUUGAACUCUCCACCGAUGCAAAGUGAGUCUGAAGGUAAAUAUUAUUGUCCCCCUUGUUUCCAUUAUGUCUGUAUGUUAUCUACAUCAAUAGGUAUGUACACACUGAAUAUAUAUAUACAGAAAAAUAAUUUUUGCUGCACCAACGGUAGAUAAAAGUGAAAUACUGGCUCUUGUAGGCGAUAAGAUGGAUUCUUUGAUCCUUUAUAAUCUAUGAUUAAAUGGUUGCGUUAUUGAUGAGUCAUAAUUAUGCAUUUCGCAUUGAACUUAGGAAUAAAACGAUUAAUUCUUAAAUCAAGUAGAACUUCUCUUUCAUGAAUGUUGUGUUCAAUAAUCGGUGAUUAGCUAUUUGAAAGUCAUCACUGCAUUUGUUGGUAUCAUAUGAAGUUGUCCAUGAUGGUGAUUAUGAUCUGUUCAAUUUUAGGGCUCAUUCUAUUUCUAUGCAUCCUGAUAACUUAUAUGGGCAUAUGCAGAAUUACUGAAGUGUCCACGAAAAUAGAACCAGUGCAGGAGAAAAAAUAAAGAGCUUAGCACAAAUAGGAUUUUUGAAGUUAUUUAGUGGUUGCCUUAUCGCAUUUGAAGGUUUGCAGGUUAUUUCUUUGUUUACCCUUUGAAUCUCUUUGAUAUUGCUGAAUAAUAACUGUAGUCUCUUAGAUAGAUCUACUCAAUAGAUAAAACUUGGACAAAGUAAAGUAUAUGCAAAAUCAGAACUCUACCAAAUCCACCAACUUCCAAUAGCCCCUUUUCCAUGAAACCCUUUGUAGCAAAGUAUAGAUCUUUGAACUUAAAUCUAUGAGGGCCAUAUUCAUGUUCCCAAUCUUCAAGAAUCUCAGCAAACAUCUUCCGUUUGAUAUAAUAUAUAACCCUAAAGUUAUCAUGAAUAGCGAACUAAGCAAAAUCAAAGGCAACCCAACAGUUAAAAAUUUAGACUUUUUUUUUUCUCAUCAAAUAUACUUAGCUCAGGAGCAAAUAUUCUUGGCUCAGGAAGUUCAGAGAUUUCAAGGUUUUGAGCUUGGCUAUUAACCUUAAAACUCCAACCAAGAAUAUAAUGAGAAGCUACAAUUAACCCUGUUGAAGAUGAGAAUCCAACAUACAUUCUAUUGUUGAGUAUUGGAGAAAGAUCUUUGGUCAAUGAUAACAAAGGUUGUGUUGGUUUAUCACUAAAACCAACACUAAUUGGAGCUAAAGUAACAUCAUAAUAUCCAUACCUGCAUAUCCACUGGAAAGGGAUAAAUUCCUGAAUCCAUAAUCAUCAUAAUAUCCUGCAGGAGUUGAAUUAGCUGAUUUCAAAUCAUUGAUAUCAAUACCAAUAUGGUUAUCAUUGAUUUCAUCAAACUCAAAAUUUUGAUCAGUGUCAAGCUCAAUACCAAAAACAUGGCUGCUACUGUUUCCAUUGUUGGAAUUGUUAGAGACCAAGGUAUUAAUAUUGUAGUGAAUUUGGUAGCCCUUUUGUAGGUGAAAUAACAAAAACAAUUCCAUGGCCACUAUGAGUUGGAUAUUAAGAUUUUAUAGCAAAUAAAGAAUUAGUUGAGAAAGAAGACACACUUUCACUGAGUGUUUUUGAAAACUAUAGGAUUUGGAUAGAAAGCAUUGCCAUCAAGAUAUAAAUGUGAUGAUUGGAAUCCACUUUAUUUAUAGAUAAAGCAACAUGAACACAAGUCUGAGGAACAUGAUUAUAGUUUGAGAAUGAAUCAUGCUUCUGUAGUUCUGUUCGAGUGUUCGGUGUUUAUUAUUUAUAAGAUUUUGUGCUAAGUGAAGGAAAAAUUGCAUGUCUAAUUCGGGUCCUACUAAGAAAUUUCCUAGAACCUAGCUACGAAUUAUUACUAAAAGAAACAUCACAUGGUUACUAAAAUUGCCUUAUCAUCUGGGUCCUACUAAGAAAUGUCUCAUUUAGUUUAGUGAAGAGAAUGUGUUAUACAUUUGAAUCACAAUUUUUUUUUAUUUUUUUUCCAACAGUAGUAGUGGGUGAAUGUUUUUUUAACAUUUACAUAUUAAGUGUUUGAUGCUAAAUUGAAUAUGUGAAAUUUAAUUAUCAAUGUGUUCUAAUUUCUUAGAAUAAGUAGUGUUUUUUUUUAAUCCUGAAUGUGUGGACUUGACCAGUUACUAUUGAUUAUUGAUUAUGCUUCAAAUCAAAUGAUGAAUGAAUAUGUGGUGGAAAGAUAAAAAGAUAUAUGUUGGUUUGACUCAAUUUCAUACUCACUCCGUCUCUAAAUAUAAGACUCCUCUACAAAUUACUAAAUACAUUUAUUGCUCUUUUUUUUCCAAUAUACUAUCAAUUUAUCUAAGAAUAUGAAAAUUAACUUUGAAUGCACUUUUAUAAAAAGGGUAAUUUAGAAAUAGUAACACACAUUUCAGACAAAUUUAUUACUCGAAAGACUUUUUUUAGUACCCGUGAUUUUUGUAAAGUGUUCUUCUAAAAAAGGAUGGAGGGAAAAUUUUUCUUCAUGCAAAAAUCAUGGUGAAAUUUCGAGCCACAUGUUCCAUCGGUCACAUGUGUUGGCAAAUUGCAGGGAGAUGGAGGCAAAUCACCGGGUAAUUUACUCGUGAUUGACAGCUAUAAAAUACAAUUUUAGACCUGGUUGUUUUGCAAUCUUUCUACUCUAAAGGAGUUAAGGAACUAAUAGGGUGAGGGUUGAGUGUUUUGCAUGAUAUUCUUAUGUUGGAAAACAUCAUGAGAUCUCAUUAGAGUAAAUAUCAAACUCUUUUUCUAGUUUUCUCCUUAGAUCUCAAUUUAGGUUUUAGUGACUUGAAAAAUGGAUAGAAAUUAGAGAUUGUUCUUAUUGUCUACAAGAAUGGUAAAGGUAUUCUUUACCUAGGGCUUUGGUCAAUUUACUCUCAAAUUGUUUCAAACAAACUAAUUUGGCUGAAAUUUUUUUAAUUUCAGGGAUCAUUUUAGAAGUAUGAGUAAUUUGGUUGAAAUUCUUUUAAUUUCAGGGAGAUGAAUGGAAAAUUGAAAUUUAUCACAGCAUUCGUUGGUAAAGUAUGAAGUCGUCCAUGAUAGUGAUUAUGAUGUGUUCAAUUUUAGGGCUCAUUCUAUACAUCCCGUUAACUUAAUCUUAUAUGUGCAUAUGCAGAACUACUGAAGUGUUGAAGAAAAUCGAACGAGUAAAGGAGAAAAGAUGAAGAGCUUGUUUGAGUCUUUAGAACAAAUAUAAUUUCUGAAGUUAUUUAGUGGUUGCCUUAUUGCAUUUGAGGUUUUGCAGGUUAUUUCUUAGUUUACCCUUUGAAUCUCUGUGAUAUUACUGAACAAUAAUUGUAGUCUCUCGUUUACUCAAAAUAGAUACAAACUUGGACGCAAUGAAGUAUAUACAAAAUCAAAACAAAAAAAGUUUAAUGAGAAAAUGAUUUUAUGUAACUAUUAAACCAUUUACUCAAACAUGAUUUCACUUUUUAGAUAACAAACUCUCUUUAAUCCUUUUUACCAAAAUUUAAUACAUUACAAAAUCAAAAUGCACCAAUUAAGCAUCAAUUAGACGUGUCUUUUGAAAUCAACGACCACCCGAGAGAACAGAUUCAGCAAUUAACGCUGAAGUAUAUGGCAUUCUCCUGUCCUCAACAAAUAAUUGGUACCCAAAAGUUAAACCAGAAGAAGAUAAACUAAGCGAAGAAAAAUCUGGCAAAGGUGUAUCCCUCUCCAAAUACUGUACAACUUGUCUCAUACUUGGUCUAGCCAAAGGCUCUGAAUGUGAACACAACAAGCCAAGUUUCAACACCAAUUCCACCUCUUCAGACACAUAAUUUGUUCCUAAAUGAACAUCUUUUGCCUCAAGAAUCUCACCUCUUUGCCAACAUUCAAACACAGAAUCAACUAGAAUUAGACUCUCAUUGUCUCCUACACGACCUAUAGGCCUCCUACCACAAACAACCUCAAGAAGAAAUGCACCAAAAGAAAACACAUCAGAAAAUUUAGUAGCCUUACCUCUUCUAAUAUGUUCAGGAGCAAGAUAACCAAUAGUUCCAGCCAAAUGAGUUGUGUGAGGAUCAGCACCAUGAUCAUGCAACCUUGAAAGACCAAAAUCUCCCAAUCUAGCAUUAAAUCCAGAAUCUAACAACACAUUACUAGCCUUUAUGUCUCUAUGAAUAACAACUUUCUCCCAUUCUUCAUGAAGAUAAACCACACCUGAAGCAACACCUUUGAUGAUUCUAAAUCUUUGACUCCAAUUCAACCUCACUUUUGGUUGGUUAUAUAGAUAGUUGUCUAAACUUCCAUUCGGCAUGUAAUCAUAAACCAAAAGUAACUCGCUUUUUCGCCUGCAAUAGCCAUGAAGUUGAACAAGAUUCCUGUGCCGAAGACGACCGAUACUAACAAUUUCCGACACAAAUUCCCUCAUCCCUUGUCUUGAUUCAUGAGACACCCUUUUCACAGCAACCUCAAGUUUGGAACUUUGUAUCACACCUUUGUAGACUCUACCAAAUCCACCAACUCCCAAUAGCCCCUUUUCCCUGAAACCCUUUGUGGCUGAGUAUAGAUCUUUGAACUUAAAUCUACGUGGGCCAUAUUCAUGUUCCCAAUCUUCAAGAACCUCAUCAAACUUCUUCAAUUUGACAUAAUACAUAACCCCUAAAGUUAUCAUGAAUACCAAACUUAGGAAAAUCAAUGGCAAUCCAACAGUUAAAAAUUUCGACUUUUUUUUCUCUGCAGGUAGUUUAGGAAGUUCAGAGAUUUCAAGGUUUUGAGCUUGACCAUUAACCUUAAAACUCCAACCAAGAAUAUACUGAGAAGCUACCAUUAACCCUGUUGAAGAUGAGAAUCCAACAUACAUUCUAUUGUUGAGAAUUGAAGAAAGAUCUUUGGUCAAUGAUAACAAAGGUUGUGUUGGUUUAUUACUAGCACCAACACUCAUUGGUGCUAAAGUAACAUCAAUCUUUUUCUUCACUCCAUCAUAUUCAAUCCAUACCUGCAUAGGGUAUCCACUGGAAAGGGAUAAAUCCUUGAAUUGACCAUAACCAUCAUAAUAUCCUGCAGGAGUUGAAUCAGCUGAUUUCAAAUCAUUGAUAUCAAUUCCAACAUGGUUAUCGUUGAUAUCAUCAAACUCAAAAUUUUGACGAGUGUCAAGCUCAACACCAAAAACAUGGUUGCUACUGUUUCCACUGUUGGAAUCGUUAAAGAGACCAAGGUAUUGACUUGGUAGUGAAUCUGGUAGCCCUUUUGUUGGAGAAAUAACAAAAACAAUUCCAUGGCCACCAAUAUUUGCAUAUUGAGGUAUUAUGGCAAAUAAAAAAGUAGUUGAGAAAGAAGACACGCUUUCACUGGAAGUGUUUUUGAAAACUAUUGGAUUUGGAUAGAAACCAUGUCCUUUGUCUCUUUCUGUAUCAUUGGUGAGUUUUAGUAAGCCAUUUGUAGUUAACUCAGCAAUACCAUCAAGAUAUAAAUGUGAUGAUUGGAAUCCAUUAUAUAUGAAACUGUUGUCUUCACUUGCAACCAAUGUAACAUGAAAAAACAACAUGAACACAUGUCUGAGGAACAUGAUUAUAGGUUGUGAAUAAUAAUGCUUAUACAGUUCGGUUCAUUGUUUCUUAUUUAUUAUUUUUUAUUUAUAAUAUUUUGUCCUAUUGCUAGUCUCAUUUGGGACCUACUAAUAAGUGUCCCUUUACCUAACUUAGCUACGUAUUAUCACCAAAAGAAACAUCAAAUCAAAUGGUUACUAAAAUUGCGUAUCUCAUUUGAGUCAAUUUAAGUGGUGGAAGGAUGGAUAAAGAUAAUGUUGGUUUUGACUAAAAUGACUGGGGCAGUUUUUAAAGGAGAUAAUUUUUAGGAAACUUGGAAGUUAAGAGUUGAGUUGGAAAGAUUCUUUCUUCCUCUAACAUAGGUCAUUUUGGGCCGAAUUAGGUAAACAAUUUGAAAAUCGCUCUUUAAGCUUGAAAAAUUGUUCUCUUGCACCUUAAAAUUUCAUUAAUACCCCCAACAGCAAUGAAUUAUCGUCGCUACCCAGCAGCAGUUAAUUGUCGUUCGGUCUUUUUGCAACCACAAUUGUGUUCAACUGCAGUUGCGUUCGAGACUUAUUCUAGAACAGUAACAACACGUGUUCUGGAUUUAUUUUAUAAAAGCAAAAAUAGUUAUCACUUUUGUUUGAAACACAAAACUCCAAUCUCACUCAAAUGAAUCUCAUCCAAUUUCUUUCAUCAAAAUCAAAAGUUAUCAACUAUUCUACAAGUAAGUGUUAAUAAUCUCUUCUAUUCACAUUGUUAGUUUUAUAUAAUUUUUUUUCCUUCAAAAUUUGGUGGAAAUGUUAGUGUUUAUGAUUGGAUAAAUUAUUGAUAUUUUGGGUAGUCUGUGAUCCUAUAUAUGCAUGUUUUGACUAUAAAUGUUGUUUAAACUAAAUUUAAGUUCAAUGUUGUAGUUUAAAAGUUGAAAUAACACAAUGAAUAAAUGUUGUAUAUUUUGUACUACAAGCGUUUGAUGAAAUGCUUGAAUGAGUUUUUCAUUGAUAUUUUUAUUGUCUUUUGUUGUGUAGAUAUGACUGAGAACCUACAUAUGCGUAAAGAGACCAUGACAAGCAGUUCCCGCAAGGAGAGAGUGACAGUGAACCCUACUAAAAUCUGCAUUUCCAACGAUGUACGUCACAAACUGCCAAUGCAUUUAACCAAAUUUUUAGCAUUCUUUCUAUUUAAUUAGUUUUUCUUAUACUUUGUCUAUUUGAUCUUUUUAUCAAUUUUAAUUAUUCAGAUAUAGAUUGUUUCUUUCUACAUCUGCUGCACAAUUCACAAAUCAUGAUUUUGAUGAUGUGAUCAUCAAGGUUGGCUAGGAUAAGAAGAUUUUUGCAUCUAGUAUAUAUCUUUGAAAUGGAGAUAACUUGAUUUCCUUUCCUUACAGUAUUUUUUUAUUUUUUUAAAUCAAGGAGUAACCUUUGCGCAAAUCCUUGACGAAUCCCACGGGGUAACUGAGAUCCAAUAAUCAACGAAUGAGCUAUUUUUUAUACACAUAGUCCAGGUACCCUAAAACAAAUGUUUAAGAGACUCAAAUAUCUACCACAGUACCAGUUAUGCCACAUAUAUUGGAUGUUUCUUUAGAAUGGAUGAUUUGUAUAGAAAAGCCGACUGCAAAGGAAAAUUCAAAUAAAAACUCGUGAAUUAAUAUGUUGAAGUGUGAUUUAACAAUAAAAAAUUUAUAAGCAAAGUAAAUUAAAUAAAAUGCCUAAAAAUCCAUCUAUUCCAAUCAACUAAAUACCUUUCUGCAAAUGUAAAAAUAAUUCAAAGCAGCUACGCAACGCGCAGGUCAAAAUCUAGUUAAUCACAUAAUGUCCAUGUAUUAUGUAUAUGUACACAUAAAUCAGUGUUUUAUACCAGUGCAUUGUGGCCGGUUUACAGAUUUCAGUUUGCAGAGUGUUAUAUAGCCAGUGCUGUCAAAUUUAGAGGCGCUAUAGUGCUGCCGAAUAGAAGAAUUUGACCAAAUUGCUAUUGUUCCGUAAUAAAGCCCUUUUGUACAAAAUGUUGUCAUUAAUAAUGGCUAUAGAAGCACUAUAGUACCGUACCAUAGUAGAAUUUGAACAAACCGCUAUGCUGCAACAUUCAACACUGGUUAUAUAGUCACUGGUCAGUUAUGGUAUUUCCGGCUCGUAUUGACAUUUUUUGGCACCCCCACUGGUUGUUAGCAUUUUCGACUACUCAGCCUCAACCACACACAUUCUUCUUCUUCUUAAUCCUUUGUAUACUCAUUUGUUCAUACUUCUCUUUGCAACUUGUCUUUUUCUUUAACCCUACAUUCUUGCUCUGCAGCAACUCAAUCCCCCAUUGUUCUGUUUUUCUAUACUAGGUUGUUAAUUAUGAAUGUCUGUAAUUUUGUGUAACUUUUUUUUAUUUCUUUGAAAAUUUAUUUACAUAAAGCAUAAAAUAUUUAUGUUGGAUAUAUAAUCUUUGGUAUAGAGUUAUAUCAUCAUCUACUAUCUCUCAGUAGCGUUCGUGGGAUCUAUUACAUGUAUCAAAUGACUGCAUAAUAUUUACCAUGGGCUACAUCUAUGAAUAUAAAUUAAAACUCACGUACCUACCUAUUAGGAGAAAGAGACUACAUUAAAACAUAAACACUACAUAAAACUCGUGUAUCUAUUACACUAUUAACUCAAAUAUGAUUUUACAUUUGAUUUAACAAACUCUCCUUAAUCCAUUUUACCAAAAUCUAACGACAACCAGAGAGAAUUGAGUCGGCAAUAGACACAGAAGUCUGUGACAUUGUGUUGCCCAUAGAGGAAGGAUAAGACAAAGGAAAGUCCUCAAAAAAUUCUUGGUACCCAAAAGUUAAUCCAGAAGAAGAUAAACUAAGCAAAGACAAAUCUGGCAAAGGUAUAUCCCUCUCCAAAUACUGCACAACUUGUCUCAUACAUGGUCUAGCCAAAGGUUCUGAAUGUGAACACAACAAUCCAAGUUUCAACACCAACUCCACCUCUUCAGACACAAAGUUUGUCCCCAAAUUUACAUCUUUUGCCUCAAGAAUAUCACCUCUUUUCCAACACUCAAAUACACAAUCAACCAAAAUUACACUUUCAUUUUCCCCAACAUUAGAAAUAGGCCUUCUACCACAAGCAACCUCAAGAAGAAAUGCACCAAAAGAAAACACAUCAGAAAAUUUAGUAGCCUUACCUGUUCUAAUAUGUUCCGGAGCAAGAUAACCAAUAGUUCCAGCCAAAUGAGUCGUGUGAUGAUCUGCACCAUGGUCAUACAACCUUGAAAGACCAAAAUCUCCCAAUCUAGCAUUAAAUUCAGAAUCUAACAACACAUUACUAGCUUUUAUGUCUCUAUGAAUUACAACUUUCUCCCAUUCUUCAUGAAGAUAAACCACGCCUGAAGCAACACCUUUGAUGAUUCUAAAUCUUUGACUCCAAUUCAACCUCACUUUUGGUUGGUUGUAUAAAUAUUUGUCUAAACUUCCAUUCGGCAUGUAAUCAUAAACCAAAAGUAACUCGCUUUUUCGCCUGCAAUAGCCAUGAAGUUGAACAAGAUUCCUCUGCCGAAGACGACCGAUACUAACAAUUUCCGACACAAAUUCCCUCAUCCCUUGUCUUGAUUCAUGAGACACCCUUUUCACAGCAACCUCAAGUUUGGAACUUGGUAACACACCUUUGUAGACUCUACCAAAUCCACCAACUCCCAGUAGCCCCUUUUCCCUGAAACCCUUUGUGGCAAAGUACAAAUCUUUGAACUUAAAUCUAUGUGGGCCAUAUUCUUGUUCCCAAUCUUCAAGAAUCUCAGCAAACUUCUUCCGUCUGAUAUAAUACAUAACCCCUAAAGUUAUCAUGAAUAUCAAACUUAUCAAAAUUAAAGGCAACCCAACAGUUAAAAAAUUUGAUUUCGUUUUCUCAGCUAAUACUGGUAACUCAGGAAGUUCAGAGAUUACAAGGUUUUGAGCUUGACCAUUAAUCUUAAAACUCCAACCAAGAAUAUAAUGAGAAGUUAGAAAUGAACCAGUAGCUGAUGAAAAUCCAACAUACAUACUAUUGUUAAGAAUUGGAGAAAGAUCUUUGGUCAAUGAUAACAAAGGUUGUUUUGGUUUAACAACAUUAAUUGGAGCUAAAGUAACAUCAAUCUUUUUCUUUUCACCAUCAUAUUCAAUCCAUACCUGCAUAGGAUAGCCACUGAUAAGGCUUAUAUUCUUGAAUUGACCAUUACCAUCAUAAUAUCCUGCAGGAGUUGAAUUAGCUGAUUUCAAAUCAUUGAUAUCAAUACCAACAUGGUUAUCAUUGAUAUCAUCAAACUCACGAUUUUCAAUAGUAUCAAGUUCAACACCAAAAACGUGGUUGCUAGGAUUUCCAUUGUUGGAAUCGUCAAAGAGACCAAGGUAUGAACCUUGGAGUGAAUUUGGUAGCCCUUUUGUAGGAGAAAGAACAAAAACAAUUCCAUGGCCACUAUAAGUUGGACCUUGAUGUCUUAUGGCAAAUACAAAAGUAGUUGAGAAUGAAGAAACACUUCCAUUGGAAGUGUUCUUCAAAACUAUAGGGUUUGGAUAGAAAGCAUGUGCUUUUUCUUGUUUGGUGUCAUUGGUGAGUCUUAGUAAGCCAUUGGAGGUUAAAUUAGCAAUACCAUCAAGAUACAAAUGAGAUGAUUGGAAAUCAUUAUAGAUGAAACUUUUGUCUUCACUUGGUACCAAUGUAACAAGAAAAAACAACAUAAACACAAGCCUGAGGAACAUGAUUAUAGUUUGUGAAUAAUAAUGCUUAUACAGUUCUGUUCAGUGUUUAUUAUUUAUUAUUUAUUAUGUAUAAGAUUUUGUCCUAGGUGAAGAAAAAAUUGCAAGUCUAAUUUGGGUCCUACUAAGAAAUGUCUUGGAACCUAACUUAGCUAUGAAUUAUCACCAAAAGAAACAUCAAAUGGUUACUAAAAUCGCGUAUCUCAUUUGGGUCCUACUAAGAAAUGUCUCAUUUAGUUUAGUAAAAAUGAACUCAUUUGGGACCAUUUGAAUAGUUGUGCACAUUUGAACUACCAAUUUUUUUCCCAACUGCACAUUUUCAAUGUUUACGUAUUGAGUGUUUGAUGCUAAAUUGAAUAUGUGAAAUUAAAACAUCAAUGUCGUCUAAUUUCUUCAAAUAAGCAUAGUUUUUUUUUUUAAGUUCACACUUGAAUGUGUGGAUUUGACCGAUUACUAUUGAUUAUCUAUGAUUUGCUUGGCUGCUAAGAAAAUGAUGAAUGAAUAAGUGGUGGAGGAUGCAUAAAGAUACCGUUGGUUUUGAAUCAAAAUUUCAUAUUUUUCUUCAUGGAAAAAUCGUAGGCCAAUUAAAGUCAGCCUGUUUCAUUGGUCAUAUGUGCUGGCAAGUUGCAGGGAGAUGGAGGUAAAUCACGAGGCAAUUUACUCAGGAUUGACAACUAUAAAAUUCAGUUUUUGACAUAUUUGUCGAGCAAUCUUUCUACUCUAAAUCAGAGAAUUUUUAAGGAAUUUAGAGGUUCAGAGUAACCUUAAAAAGUAACUUAAUAACAUAACUUUGUUCUCCAAAAACUUUACUGUCUUUUCAAUUUUCUGGUUCUUCUUCAUUUCUUGUCCACCACUUUAUCAUAGCUUCUGUUUUUCACAUAUGCCCACACGACCUAAAAUGAGCUUACCAUUUUUUCUACAAUGGAGCCAUCUCAACUUUUUCUCUGCUGUUUAUUUAAUUUAUUUAAUUCAGGGUUAAAAACCAUGUAAUGGACUAAUUUUAAAACCUAACUUUCUUUUUUAGGUGCUGCACUGUCUGUAAAGAGAAGUGACAUAUUGGCUCUUGCUAUAGGUAUGAUGGACUCUUUGAUCCUCUACAAUCAAUGAUUGGUUUAUUGUGUCAUUCACGGGUGAUAAUUCUGGAUGUCACAAUGAAUGUUGGGAUAAAAUGGUUUGUUUAAAUCGAGUAAAACUUCUGUUUCAUGAAUGGUGUGUUCAUCAACUGGUAACAAUUAUAGCAACUAUAGAAGAAAGGCUUAAGUGGGGUGUGGGUUUUCCUACUAUAGGUGUUUCAAUUGUUUUACAUGCACUGAGGCAUUCUUUAGAAUCAAGUGCAUUUCAGAUAUGGCUCAAUAAAUGUUAUAUUUGAUUUAGACUGAAUCACCAUUUAAGUCUAUAAAUUACAGGGGUUGAAAUUUUUAAUGUUAGUCCUUUUGGGUCGGUCAAUAUAGUCCUUGAAAUUGUCUUGAAGAUACUAAAGUGAUUGAAAAUUUUCAAUUUCAAUGAUCAUUUUAGAAUAUGUUAAUUUUAGGGGCUAGAUUGCAUGAUGUCGUGACCAAUACUAUUAUAAGACUGAAAUAGGUUAUUCGCUCUUUCGUUUUAUGUUAUUUGAUGUGUCUAUGCUAGGUGGUGCUUACCUAAAGAUUCUUGAUGGCUACAUUAGUUCAUAUGUUGUUGCUAUCUGAUGAAUGGAAAAUUUAAAUUUGUUGGUCGAGGGUUGAGUACCUCGAUUGGUUUGAGCUAAGGGUUAAGAAGUUGGAGGUCGUCUGUUCAAAUUUUGGUAAUGUCGACAUUGUCCAUGACAGUGAUUAUAAUUAUGAUGUGUUGUUCAAUUUUAAUAUUUAAGGCUCAUUCUACGCAUGCUGAUAACUUAAUCCUGCCAAGCCCUGUAUAUUAACAUUGAUUAGUUGCUCAAUAUUACAGGUGGAUAUCUAAGCUGUAUUUCGAUGAUAUUCUAGAAAAUACAGAAGCAAAUAUAUGUCUUGUUAUCGAUGCUCGUAUUUGGAGGAUUCUAUAAAUUGAGCCAUCUUCUGCUGCUAGUUCAGGUUGAAGUUGAACUAGUGAUAAAUGAUAAAAAUAAACUAAUGUUGUGCAAAAUUAGUUCAGUGUUGCUUGUAGCUAAAAUGUUAUGCUGCCAUGC
rnacentral:lncRNA from 1 species